GAGUUUGAUCUUGGCUCAGGAUGAACGCCGGCGGUGUGCCUAAUACAUGCAAGUCGUACGCACUGGCCCAACUGAUUGAUGGUGCUUGCACCUGAUUGACGAUGGAUCACCAGUGAGUGGCGGACGGGUGAGUAACACGUAGGUAACCUGCCCCGGAGCGGGGGAUAACAUUUGGAAACAGAUGCUAAUACCGCAUAACAACAAAGGCCACAUGGCUUUUGUUUGAAAGAUGGCUUUGGCCAUCACUCUGGGAUGGACCUGCGGUGCAUUAGCUAGUUGGUAAGGUAACGGCUUACCAAGGCGAUGAUGCAUAGCCGAGUUGAGAGAUCCCGAUCGGCCACAAUGGAACUGAGACACGGUCCGAUACUCCUACGGGAGGCGAGCAGUAGGGAAGU
rnacentral:rRNA from 1 species